CAGCCGCCGCGGUAAUACGUAGGUGGCAAGCGUUGUCCGGAAUUAUUGGGCGUAAAGCGCGCGCAGGCGGAUAGGUCAGUCUGUCUUAAAAGUUCGGGGCUUAACCCCGUGAUGGGAUGGAAACUGCCAAUCUAGAGUAUCGGAGAGGAAAGUGGAAUUCCUAGUGUAGCGGUGAAAUGCGUAGAUAUUAGGAAGAACACCAACGGCGAAAGCACUCUGCUGGGCCGACGCUGACACUGAGAGACGAAAGCUAGGGGAGCAAAUGGGAUUAGAUACCCGCGUAGUCCCUGUCUCUUAUACA
rnacentral:rRNA from 1 species